rnacentral:rRNA from 1 species
UACCAGCACCCCGAGUGGUCGGGACGUUAUUGGGCCUAAAGCAUCCGUAGCCGGUUCUACAAGUCUUCCGUUAAAUCCAACUGCUUAACAGGUGGGCUGCGGAAGAUACUAUAGAGCUAGGAGGCGGGAGAGGCAAGCGGUACUCGAUGGGUAGGGGUAAAAUCCGUUGAUCCAUUGAAGACCACCAGUGGCGAAGGCGGCUUGCCAGAACGCGCUCGACGGUGAGGGAUGAAAGCUGGGGGAGCAACCGG